rnacentral:lncRNA from 1 species
AUGUAUGUAGGGAGGAAUCAUCUCCCUUUAGUGGAAAUAGGGGUAACCUAUUCCAUGUGCUCUUUUCUUAAUUCCUCCCUUGGGUCUUUCUCUGUGGGCCUUAUGAAUGGCCCAUAAAAAGUUCCAUUCAAGCCCUUAUCUUUACUUUGUAUGACGAGGGUUUGUCGAGUACUCCCCUAGGCUGACCGUUGGUAGGAGCAU